CCCUUAGAUGUUCUGGGCUGCACGCGUGCUACACUGAUGCAUUCAGCAAGUAUACUUCCUUUGCCGAGAGGCCUGGGCAAUCUUGUAAACAUGCAUCGUGAUAGGGAUAGAUUUUUGCAAUUUUUGGUCUUCAACGAGGAAUUCCUAGUAAACGCAAGUCAUCAACUUGCAUUGAUUACGUCCCUGCCCUUUGUACACACCGCCCGUCGCACCUACCGAUUGAAUGGUCCGGUGAAGCCUCCGGAUUGGCGCGCACCUCGGUGCCGCCGAGAAGUUGGCUAAACCUUACCAUUUAGAGGAAGGUGAAGUCGUANCA
rnacentral:rRNA from 1 species